AGUAACACGUAAACAACCUGCCUUCAGGAUGGGGACAACAGACGGAAACGACUGCUAAUACCGAAUAAGUUCCAAGAGCCGCAUGGCCCAUGGAAGAAAAGGUGGCCUCUACUUGUAAGCUAUCGCCUGAAGAGGGGUUUGCGUCUGAUUAGCUGGUUGGAGGGGUAACGGCCCACCAAGGCGACGAUCAGUAGCCGGCUUGAGAGAGUGAACGGCCACAUUGGGACUGAGACACGGCCCAAACUCCUACGGGAGGCAGCAUG
rnacentral:rRNA from 1 species